rnacentral:siRNA from 1 species
UGCAGGUGACGAGAUGAGUGUCGA